GUCGGGAGUUAGGAAAUGCAAGGAUGUUAAUAGCGUCUUUGCUUGACUAAGGCUCCGGAGGAAGCCGCGGCUAACUCUGUGCCAGCAGCCGCGGUAAUACAGAGGCGGCAAGCGUUGUUCGGAAUUAUUGGGCGUAAAGAGCACGUAGGCGGCCGUGUAAGUCGGUUGUGAAAGCCUUCCGCUCAACGGGAGAACGGCAUCCGAUACUGCAUGGCUAGAGUGCGGGAGGGGAGAGUGGAACUUCUGG
rnacentral:rRNA from 1 species